GUGCCAGCAGCCGCGGUAAUACGGAGGUCCCAAGCGUUGUUCGGAAUUACUGGGCGUAAAGGGAGCGCAGGCGGAUAGUUAAGUCUAAAGUGGAAUCCCGGGGCUCAACCUCGGAACUGCUUCGGAUACUGGCUAUCUUGAGUUCGUGAGAGGAAAGCGGAAUUCAGGGUGUAGCGGUGAAAUGCUUAGAUAUCCUGAGGAACACCAAUGGCGAAGGCAGCUUUCUGGCGCGAUACUGACGCUGAGGCUCGAAAGCGUGGGGAGCGAACAGGAUUAGAAACCCCCGUAGUCC
rnacentral:rRNA from 1 species